rnacentral:rRNA from 1 species
UACGUAGGGGGCAAGCGUUAUCCGGAUUUACUGGGUGUAAAGGGAGCGUAGGCGGCAGCGCAAGUCAGAAGUGAAAGCCCGGGGCUUAACUCCGGGACUGCUUUUGAAACUGUGCGGCUAGAUUUCAGGAGAGGUAAGCGGAAUUCCUAGUGUAGCGGUGAAAUGCGUAGAUAUUAGGAGGAACACCAGUGGCGAAGGCGGCUUACUGGACUGACAAUGACGCUGAGGCUCGAAAGCGUGGGGAGCAAACA